CACGUAGGGUGCGAGCGUUGUCCGGAAUUAUUGGGCGUAAAGAGCUCGUAGGCGGUUUUGUCGCGUCUGCCGUGAAAGUCCGGGGCUCAACUCCGGAUCUGCGGUGGGUACGGGCAGACUAGAGUGAUGUAGGGGAGACUGGAAUUCCUGGUGUAGCGGUGAAAUGCGCAGAUAUCAGGAGGAACACCGAUGGCGAAGGCAGGUCUCUGGGCAUUAACUGACGCUGAGGAGCGAAAGCAUGGGGAGCGAACAGG
rnacentral:rRNA from 1 species